GGUGCAGCAGGCGCGAAACCUCCUCAAUGCACUAACGUGCGAAGGGGUUACCUCGAGUGCCACCUGAAGAAGGUGGCUUUUCCUUGGUCUAAAAAGCCUCGGGAAUAAGAGGGGGGCAAGACUGGUGUCAGCCGCCGCGGUAACACCAGCCCCUCGAGUGGUGGGGAUGAUUAUUUGGCCUAAAGCGUCCGUAGCCGGCCGUAUAAGUUUCCCGUUAAAUCCAACGUCUCAAGCGUUGGACUGCGGGAAAUACUGAACGGCUAGAGAGUGGGAGAGGUCAGCGGUAUUCUGGGGGUAGGGGCGAAAUCCUUUGAUCCCCGGAGGACCACCAGUGGCGAAGGCUGCUGACUAGAACACGUCUGACGGUCAGGGACGAAAGCUGGGGUAGCGAACCGGAUUAGAUACCCGGGUAGUCCCAGCCGUAAACGAUGCAUGCUAGGUGUUGGGUUGGCCACGAGCCACCCCAGUGCCGCAGGGAAGCCGUUAAGCAUGCCGCCUGGGAAGUACGAUCGCAAGAUUGAUUUUUUUCCGGAAUUGGCGGGGGAGCAC
rnacentral:rRNA from 1 species